CCUCCAGACUCCUACGGGAGGCAGCAGUGAGGAAUAUUGGUCAAUGGGAGAGAUCCUGAACCAGCCAAGCCGCGUGAGGGAAGACGGCCCUAUGGGUUGUAAACCUCUUUUGUCGGAGAACAAAACCCGGGACGUGUCCCGGACUGCGUGUAUCCGAAGAAAAAGCAUCGGCUAACUCCGUGCCAGCAGCCGCGGUAAUACGGAGGAUGCGAGCGUUAUCCGGAUUUAUUGGGUUUAAAGGGUGCGUAGGCGGGAUGCCAAGUCAGCGGUAAAAAUGCGGUGCUCAACGCCGUCGAGCCGUUGAAACUGGCGUUCUUGAGUGGGCGAGAAGUAUGCGGAAUGCGUGGUGUAGCGGUGAAAUGCAUAGAUAUCACGCAGAACUCCGAUUGCGAAGGCAGCAUACCGGCGCCCUACUGACGCUGAGGCACGAAAGCGUGGGUAUCGAACAGGAUUAGAUACCCGUGUACU
rnacentral:rRNA from 1 species